UUUCCGUAGGUGAACCUGCGGAAGGAUCAUUAUCGUAAGGGGUUGAAAAGCCCCGGGUGAACAAGCCGGUCCGCAGUUACUGGUGGCAGGCCUUUAUCAGGAUGUUACUCCGCGGGAAUAUCCCGCGGGGUAUUCCCAAGGCCUGUUGCACUAGUGACUUCCGCGGCUCUUAGCCCAAACCCUUGUCUAUGCGUACCUUUCUUUUCCCUGGGCGAGUUCGCUCGCCACCGGGGACACCAAACCAAACCUGCAGUAUAUUCUUGUAACCGUAAUAGAUGAAAUCGUACAACUUUCAACAACGGAUCUCUUGGUUCUGGCAUCGAUGAAGAACGCAGC
rnacentral:misc_RNA from 1 species